GAUGAACGCUAGCUACAGGCUUAACACAUGCAAGUCGAGGGGUAGCAGGGUAGCAAUACCGCUGACGACCGGCGCACGGGUGAGUAACACGUAUCCAACCUUCCCAUAACUCGGGGAUAGCCUUUCGAAAGAAAGAUUAAUACCCGAUAGUACUUUUUCAAGGCAUCUUGAGAAAGUUAAAGAUUUAUUGGUUAUGGAUGGGGAUGCGUUCCAUUAGAUAGUUGGUGAGGUAACGGCUCACCAAGCCUUCGAUGGAUAGGGGUUCUGAGAGGCAGGUCCCCCACAUUGGUACUGAGACACGGACCAAACUCCUACGGGAGGCAGCAGUGAGGAAUAUUGGUCAAUGGGCGAGAGCCUGAACCAGCCAAGUAGCGUGAAGGAUGAAGGUCCUAUGGAUUGUAAACUUCUUUUAUAGUAGAAUAAAGUGAUCCACGUGUGGAUUUUUGUAUGUAUACUAUGAAUAAGGAUCGGCUAACUCCGUGCCAGCAGCCGCGGUAA
rnacentral:rRNA from 1 species